UACAGAGGGGGCAAGCGUUGUUCGGAAUUACUGGGCGUAAAGGGCGCGUAGGCGGCCUUCUAAGUCGAACGUGAAAUCCCCGGGCUUAACCGGGGAACUGCGUCUGAUACUGGAUGGCUUGAGUUCGGGAGAGGGAUGCGGAAUUCCAGGUGUAGCGGUGAAAUGCGUAGAUAUCUGGAGGAACACCGGUGGCGAAGGCGGCAUCCUGGACCGACACUGACGCUGAGGAGCGAAAGCUAGGGGAGCAAACGGG
rnacentral:rRNA from 1 species